AGGACGAACGCUGGCGGCGUGCUUAACACAUGCAAGUCGAGCGGUAAGGCCUUUCGGGGUACACGAGCGGCGAACGGGUGAGUAACACGUGGGUGAUCUGCCCUGCACUUCGGGAUAAGCCUGGGAAACUGGGUCUAAUACCGGAUAUGACUUCAGGUUGCAUGACUUGGGGGUGGAAAGUAUUUAUCGGUG
rnacentral:rRNA from 1 species